rnacentral:rRNA from 1 species
UCCAAAAGUUUCUAUUAGUCUAAAAAAAUUUUUUAUUGUAAGAGAAUAGCAUAUUACUAUUUAAGUAUAAAAGAUAGAAAUUUUUUACAUAAAUUUUCUGUAAAGAAAUUAGAUAAAAUUAAGUAAAGUUAAGUUAAAUGUUCUUUUUGGAUCAAGAUUUAAUAAAAAAUUCUUAUUAGAAAAUAAAUUUCGAAAAAACAUGAUUUUGUAUUAUAAAAAAAAUAUUAUAUUUCAAUAUAAUAUAGAAAUAAAUAAUACAAGAAGUGAUAUACCAAUCAUAUGUUUAGAUAACUAAUU